CCCCAGUGCAAGACUCCAAGUCUCACUUCCACUCCACCGAGCACGAACAGCCAAAAGGCCUCCACGAUGCUGAGUCCUGUAGUCCAACGAUGGCUCCGGAGGCAAGACCCAGGGCCUUACUUCCGAAAGCCGUGAACAGCAGAAAGGGCCUCCAUGAUGCUGGGACCUAUAGUUCAGCGAGGCUCCGGGAGCUCGACGGAGAAUGAGAAACCCAGGAAGGAACACACCAGGCUAGAUGAAAAUGAUGAGGACGAGCAGGUCCUGUGGGAAGAUGAGAAGACUUUCCGGAGUGAGAGGCGAAGGACGUGUUCCAAGCAGAGGGAGCUCAGCAGGCCAGAAGACAGCCAGAGAAGAGCCAAGGCCAGAGGGAGUCAGGAUGGAUGACCCAGUGAAGGCCAAGAUAAUUUUUUACUCUUUGCGGAAACCACCAUGGCUGAGCACCUUGAAGACCCCUCUUCCUCUCCUACCCAUACUCCAACCCUCAAGCUCCACCUCCCCUUGCCUCCUGUAUUGUAGCGGCUUCCCACAGACACCUGUGCUUGCCUUGGACACAAGUGCUUUGGAGCAGAGCACCCGGUUGUGUCAUCUUUGUGGUCACAGGAUACAUAUUACUUGAUAUGUUCAGUUUGCAGUCAUUUACAGCGUUUUGUUUUUCUCUUUUUCGUACUAGAAUUUAGGAAAGAUUUUUGUGUGCAGCAAUGCUAUUGGAUUCAGAGUAAAUACAAAAAAAAAAAGAAUAAAAACUGUUUUGGAAAUGAAGUAUACAUUUGUGUAUGCUGGAGAGAGGAAGACCAAAGGUACAAGGAA
rnacentral:lncRNA from 1 species